GUGGGGAAUAUUGGACAAUGGGCGAAAGCCUGAUCCAGCCAUGCCGCGUGUGUGAAGAAGGUCUUCGGAUUGUAAAGCACUUUAAGUUGGGAGGAAGGGCAGUAAGUUAAUACCUUGCUGUUUUGACGUUACCGACAGAAUAAGCACCGGCUAACUUCGUGCCAGCAGCCGCGGUAAUACGAAGGGUGCAAGCGUUAAUCGGAAUUACUGGGCGUAAAGCGCGCGUAGGUGGUUUUGUAAGUUGGAGGUGAAAUCCCCGGGCUCAACCUGGGAACUGCCUCCAAAACUGCAUGACUAGAGUACGGUAGAGGGUAGUGGAAUUUCCUGUGUAGCGGUGAAAUGCGUAGAUAUAGGAAGGAACACCAGUGGCGAAUGCGACUACCUGGACUGAUACUGACACUGAGGUGCGAAAGCGUGGGGAGCAAACAGGAUUAGAAACCCCUGUAGUCC
rnacentral:rRNA from 1 species